UAGGGAAUCUUCCGCAAUGGACGAAAGUCUGACGGAGCAACGCCGCGUGAGUGAAGAAGGAUUUCGGUUCGUAAAACUCUGUUGUUAGGGAAGAAAAAAUGUAUAGUAACUAUAUACAAAAGAGACGGUACCUAACCAGAAAGCCACGGCUAACUACGUGCCAGCAGCCGCGGUAAUACGUAGGUGGCAAGCGUUGUCCGGAAUUAUUGGGCGUAAAGCGCGCGCAGGUGGUUUAGAAAGUCUGAAGUGAAAGGCAGUGGCUCAACCAUUGUAGGCUUUGGAAACUGUUUAACUUGAGUGCAGAAGGGGAGAGUGGAAUUCCAUGUGUAGCGGUGAAAUGCGUAGAUAUAUGGAGGAACACCGGUGGCGAAAGCGGCUCUCUGGUCUGUAACUGACGCUGAGGCUCGAAAGCGUGGGGAGCGAACAGG
rnacentral:rRNA from 1 species